AACGCUGGCGGCGUGCCUAAUACAUGCAAGUCGAGCGAACGGACGAGAAGCUUGCUUCUCUGAUGUUAGCGGCGGACGGGUGAGUAACACGUGGAUAACCUACCUAUAAGACUGGGAUAACUUCGGGAAACCGGAGCUAAUACCGGAUAAUAUUUUGAACCGCAUGGUUCAAAAGUGAAAGACGGUCUUGCUGUCACUUAUAGAUGGAUCCGCGCUGCAUUAGCUAGUUGGUAAGGUAACGGCCUACCAAGGCAACGAUGCAUAGCCGACCUGAGAGGGUGAUCGGCCACACUGGAACUGAGACACGGUCCAGACUCCUACGGGAGGCAGCAGUAGGGAAUCUUCCGCAAUGGGCGAAAGCCUGACGGAGCAACGCCGCGUGAGUGAUGAAGGUCUUCGGAUCGUAAAACUCUGUUAUUAGGGAAGAACAUAUGUGUAAGUAACUGUGCACAUCUUGACGGUACCUAAUCAGAAAGCCACGGCUAACUACGUG
rnacentral:rRNA from 1 species